UUAAAACAAGAGCAGAUCAAAUCAGUCUGAAAAAACCCAAUGUCAAGUUUGUUCGCAAAGCAAACACAGCAUCUGGAAGUUUUCAGGCAAUUUGUCUGGCAACAGGAUUUUACCCUCGACACAUCAACCUGACGCUGUUCAGAGAUGGAGAGCCUGUAUCUGAUAAUAAGAUCAAUGGAGGAGAUCUGCUGCCCAAUGAUGAUGGGACGUACCAGAUGAAGAAGAUCCUGAAGAUCAGUGAAGAAGAAAAGAAAGAGAACUGCAAAUACACCUGCACUGCCACACAUCUCAGUCUGGACAACAAACUGAAUGUUAAGCUGACUGAUAAUUUAGAUAAUGAACAUUAUUUAUUUUACAUCAUUGGAGCUGUUUGUGUUGUUAUGCUAUUGACGUUUGGCAUUAUUUUGGCAAUCUGGCUGAAAUGGAGACAGGAAGGU